GUAGUUUGAUCUUGGCUCAGAUUGAACGCUGGCGGCAUGCCUAACACAUGCAAGUCGAACGGCAGCACUGGGAGCUUGCUCCCUGGUGGCGAGUGGCGGACGGUGGUAACGCGUAGGAAUCCUGCCUCAUAGCGGGGGACAACUCGGGGAAACUCGAGCUAAUACCGCAUAGUUACUCCGAGAGAGGAAAGCAGGGGACCUUCGGGCCUUGCACUAUGAGAUGAGCCUGCGUUUGGAUUAGUCUAGUUGG
rnacentral:rRNA from 1 species